rnacentral:lncRNA from 1 species
UCAGUGGAGGGUAGUGUUAUCUUGUGAAUGGAGUUGGGAAACCAUUAUAUGUCAAUGCUCUGACAAAGAAUUUGCAUAGUUCGCCUUGCGCCUGUGUGGAAGUUAGUGCUGACAAACCUCUAGUUGAUUGCCGACAAACCUCUAGUUGAUUGCCUUGAUCUUGACUUGGAGGAUGAGUUGCCUGCUGAAAUAUAAGUGGAGUAUCAUUGUCUCAAUUGUGAAGUCCAUGGACACAAUUAAGAUCAGUGCUCUAGCUUUGAGAACAGAGAAGGAAAGG